UACGUAGGGACCAAGCGUUGUUCGGAUUUACUGGGCGUAAAGGGCGCGUAGGCGGCAAUUCAAGUCACUUGUGAAAUCUCUGAGCUUAACUCAGAACGGUCAAGUGAUACUGCUUUGCUAGAGUGCAGAAGGGGCAACCGGAAUUCUUGGUGUAGCGGUGAAAUGCGUAGAUAUCAAGAGGAACACCGGAGGUGAAGAUGGGUUGCUGGGCUGACACUGACGCUGAGGCGCGAAAGCUAGGGUAGCAAACGGG
rnacentral:rRNA from 1 species